GUGCCAGCCGCCGCGGUAAUACGGAGGGGGUUAGCGUUGUUCGGAAUUACUGGGCGUAAAGCGCACGUAGGCGGAUCAGAAAGUUGGGGGUGAAAUCCCGGGGCUCAACCCCGGAACUGCCUCCAAAACUUCUGGUCUGGAGUUCGAGAGAGGUGAGUGGAAUUCCGAGUGUAGAGGUGAAAUUCGUAGAUAUUCGGAGGAACACCAGUGGCGAAGGCGGCUCACUGGCUCGAUACUGACGCUGAGGUGCGAAAGUGUGGGGAGCAAACAGGAUUAGAUACCCUGGUAGUCCACACCGUAAACGAUGAAUGCCAGACGUCGGGCAGCAUGCUGUUCGGUGUCACACCUAACGGAUUAAGCAUUCCGCCUGGGGAGUACGGCCGCAAGGUUAAAACUCAAAUGAAUUGACGGGG
rnacentral:rRNA from 1 species